GUAAAUCCCUAAAGUGUUUUCAAUAUUUGUGUUAUUAUUUACCCGACGCCAUGAGGCGGAAUUAUUGUCCCUUUGACGGAGAUGUUGGAGAGAGGGUGUGAAAAAUGAGAAGAAGGUUCAUCACCAAAAGGCAGAGCGGAGGACACGCUGCGAGGAACAGGGAAGAGGACGGUCGGCAGCGGGGGGAAUCCCUCUGCAUGGUAACGCGUCUCUUUCGCAGCCAAAGAAAGAAGAACGAUGUGGAGCUGUCACGGUUUUAUGGCUGGACGUGACCGUGAUGUGGAAACUAAUCUGGCACCUGAACCUUUCCCUGACCCGGCCAGAGGCGCAGAGAGUCCAGUGCGAAGUUACUUUGGGGUUGAAAAACCAGGAGAAGAAAGGAACCAAUUAAGAAGCCUAUACUUUUUCCCAACCCACUUUUUUUCCAGACUUGCCCUUUCCUCAAAAUUAGUGAAUGAUUAAUCGUGUAUUGCAUCUCUCCUGUUUUUCGCAUUAAACAAGUUAUUAUACAAACCAUGGCUCCUUAUCACUGUCAGCACAGAGGAGUCAGAGGCGCACGGCUCUGGACGCUGGCCAGGCGGAGGUCCAUAUCUCCCCACAAUGUUGACACUCGGAGCUCUUAACAGCCGGGCUUGGGUUACCUACACUCAGCCGAAGAUAACUCUUUCUGCGAGGACUACAUCGGCCAGCAUUAAGGCCAAUAUAAAAAUUCAACUCUUUCGGCAGACUUGGGGACAUCUCCCAUGCGAUGCAGACGAAACGGGAGAACGUUUACGUGAAUCUGGGUUGUGAUGAAAUUAUUUUAGCGUUGAACUUAACUUGGUGACGGAGAAUGGGCCUUGAUUAUACAGCAAUACAGUCUCCGUAUUAGCAUUGCUUUAUGCACAUCGUCACAUACACUACAGGGAGUUGGUUUUAAUCUUAGUCUAAAUGACCCAUUUUGUUCACUCUCAUUGAAAGGCUCUUCGCGCAACAGAACACCUUCGCAUUGUUGCUGUACAAAUCUUUAAAUUUCAUAGUGAAAUGAAUAAAUUGUUAUUAUUUUUUAGGAUUGUUAUCAAAGGGAGAAGACCAAAAUAUUAUCUUCCAUCUGUCAUGUCUUUAUGGGGAACUUUGCAUAAAUUUAUUUGACCCCUUUCCAUGUCAAUUUUAAGUGUUUGUAUUACUUCUGCACAAUAAAGUUCCAACUUCAUCCACGAUAUAUUACCUCUGCAA
ensembl:lncRNA